UACGGAGGGUGCAAGCGUUAUCCGGAUUUACUGGGUUUAAAGGGUGUGUAGGCGGGUCUAUAAGUCAGUGGUGAGAUCUCCGGGCUCAACCCGGAAACUGCCAUUGAUACUAUAGGUCUUGAAUAUUGUGGAGGUGGGCGGAAUGUGUCAUGUAGCGGUGAAAUGCUUAGAGAUGACACAGAACACCGAUUGCGAAGGCAGCCCACUACGCAACUAUUGACGCUGAGGCACGAAAGCGUGGGGAUCAAACAGG
rnacentral:rRNA from 1 species